ensembl:lncRNA
GGUCAAGUCUUUUCUGGCUCUUAAAAGUCUUACUCAGCUCACAUCUGAAACCGUGUGAUAAUUAGGCACUAGGGGAGGGGAAGGAGAGGACCACUUGGAAGAUACAGUCUGACUCGUGUUCAGUUUACAGUCAGGCAUUGGAGGGGAAUCUGAUGGCCACCAAACAACUACCAUGUGUAAAACACCAUGUUAGAUUCUCAAUAUCCUUACUCUUGUUUUAACCAUGGCCUCGGUCCUGCGAAGUGCUGGAAGGUAAUGACCACUCCCUGGCACAUUUCCAAGCCCAGAACCAGCUGAAAAAUCUAUACAAAAGUCAAACAGAGAGAGAUCAAAUGCUCAGAUUUACUGCUGACGCAGCUGGAUUGGAGAAAACACUAGUGUGACCAGAAUCAAGCUUCCUAUAACUAUCCCCCUUCCCUAACUCCCUUGUAAGGUACCUUCUACAACAAGGCAGGUAAGGAACACAUGUGUCCUUUAUACAAGCAGAUGCCAAAGUGAACUCCUGGACCUCUGGGAUAGCCCUUCACUCACACUCAGCAAGCAGGCUCCAAGAGAAGAAGGGGACAGGCCAUCACCAUGAAGAAGCCAGAGGAAGGGAAUGGGGGGUACUGAUGAAACACUGGACUUGAUAAUUAAGACCCCCUUCUAUCUAUUCUCUCUCUCUAUGAAAAAGCGCUUUUAAGCAUCACACCAAUUUGGUCCUGGAAUUUGGUCAAUCUGGCCUUUUCCAUCAGAAUAUGCUCUACAGAAGGAAAAAGCCUCAAAGGACCCUCCUGGCAUGAAUGCCCUGCUGCUCCCCUUCACUAGACCAGGGCCAAGAUUCCUAUCGAGGUAACUAGAGAUGAAGAAGGGAACACACCAGGCCCUUGAUAUUUCUGAGCCUCCGGAAAAGCCAAUCCCCCAGGACUCCCUGCAGGCCAGGGGAAAGAGAAACCCUUUGAGGCUCAGCUUGAAUCCGCGAGCCUUUCAGAACACUGAGAAAGCUAAACACAGCAGUUCCAUGACUACUCAUUUGGAAAGAGCCCAUCUUUUUCAAAACGUGGGUCUUAAAAGUGGAUCAUCUAUUUUUGCUUUUGUCGCUUUGGCUUUUGGUGUCAAAUCCAAAAAUUCGUUGCCAAGUCUGAUGUCAAGGAGCUUAACCCUUAUGUUUUCUCCCAGGAGUUUUCUGAUUUCAGGUUUUACAUUCAAGUCUAUCCAUUUUGAGUCCAUUUUUUGUAUGGUGUAAGAUAGGGAUCUGAUUUCAUUCUUUUGUGUGCGGCUGUCUGCAAACAGGAUGGGGAAGAGAUAUCUGUACUCCAAUGUUCACUCAGUAUUAUUCACCAUAGCUAAGAUGUGGAAAAGACUUACAUGUCCGUGAACAGAUGAACAAAUAAAG